rnacentral:misc_RNA from 1 species
UUAAGUUCAGGGGGUAUCCCUACCUGAUCUGAGGUCAAGCUUAAAAAAUAAAUCGUUCAGUUGGCAGACGCCUAUACAGUUGCUUUAACGAGAAAUUGCUUACUACGUCUUACAAGCUGAAAUAGUGUCGCCAAUAGCUUAAAGGAGAGAGGCAUAACCACUUCUCCCAAUACCAAACUAAAGUUUGAUUGAUUUAUUGA